rnacentral:miRNA from 1 species
UUGGGGUAGAAGUCAGUAUAA